GAUGAACGCUGGCGGCGUGCCUAAUACAUGCAAGUCGAGCGAACAGACGAUGAGGUUGCUCCUCUGACGUUAGCCGCGGACGUGCGAGUAACACGUUGAUAACCUACCUACAAGACUGGGAUCACUGCGGGAAACCGGAGCAAAUUCCGUAUAAUAUCUUAAACUUCAUUGUUCCAUAAUGAUAAACGGUUUUGCUGACUCUUAUCACUACAUCCUCGCCGCAUUUGGUAGUUGGUAAGGUAACGGUUUACCAAGGCAAUGAUUGGUAGCAGACCUGAGAGGGUGUCCGGCCACACGGGACCUGAGACACGGCCCAGACUCUUCCGGGAGGAGCAAGAAGGGAAUCUUCGGAAAGGGGGGAAAGCCUAACGAGGAACGGCGGCGGGAGGGAUGAAGGUCUUCGGAUCUUAAAACCCUGUUAUUAGGGAAGAACAAAUGUGUAAGUAACUAUGCACGUCUUGACGGUACCUAAUCAGAAAGCCACGGCUAACUACGUG
rnacentral:rRNA from 1 species